AUGGCCUCGAGCUCCCUCCUGCUCCUGGCCCUGCUGGCCCUGCUGGCCCUGCCAGGGCUCCGGGCGGCCGUGACCCUGCUGGAGUCCGGGGGGGACCUCCAGCCCCCCGGGGGGUCCCUGACUCUGCUCUGCCGCGCCUCUGGGUUCAAUUUUGGAAACCACGACAUGUUCUGGAUCCGCCAGAGCCCCGGGAAGUCACUGGAAUGGAUUGCAGGGAUCAGCUACGGUGGUGGCCUCACCUUCUACGCGCCGUCAGUGCAGGGCCGGUUCAGGAUCUCCAGGGACAACGGGCAGAGCUCGGUGACGCUGACCAUGAACAACCUCAAGGACGAGGAUUCCGGUGCCUAUUUCUGUGCCAAAUGUGUUGGUGCUUAUUGUGAUUACGAGGCUUAUGUCGCCCCUGUUUCCACCAAUGGUCACCAGUGA